UACGUAGGGGGCAAGCGUUAUCCGGAUUUACUGGGUGUAAAGGGAGCGUAGGUGGCAAAUCAAGUCAGAUGUGAAAGCCCGGGGCUCAACCCCGGGAUUGCAUUUGAAACUGGUAUGCUAGAGUGCAGGAGAGGUAAGUGGAAUUCCUAGUGUAGCGGUGAAAUGCGUAGAUAUUCGGAGGAACACCAGUGGCGAAGGCGGCCUGCUGGGCUCUAACUGACGCUGAGGCUCGAAAGUGUGGGGAGCAAACAGG
rnacentral:rRNA from 1 species